UACGGGGGGAGCAAGCGUUGUUCGGAUUUACUGGGCGUAAAGGGCGCGUAGGCGGCCUCCGCAAGUCAAUUGUGAAAUCUCCGGGCUUAACUCGGAACGGCCAAGUGAAACUGUCAAGCUAGAGUGCAGAAGGGGCAAUCGGAAUUCUUGGUGUAGCGGUGAAAUGCGUAGAUAUCUGGAGGAACACCGGUGGCGAAGGCGGCAUCCUGGACCGACACUGACGCUGAGGCGCGAAAGCUAGGGUAGCAAACGGG
rnacentral:rRNA from 1 species